rnacentral:rRNA from 1 species
UACGUAGGGCGCAAGCGUUGUCCGGAAUUAUUGGGCGUAAAGAGCUCGUAGGCGGUCUGUCGCGUCCGUUGUGAAAACUCGAGGCUCAACCUCGGGCUUGCAGUGGAUACGGGCAGACUAGAGUGCGGUAGGGGAGACUGGAAUUCCUGGUGUAGCGGUGGAAUGCGCAGAUAUCAGGAGGAACACCGAUGGCGAAGGCAGGUCUCUGGGCCGCAACUGACGCUGAGGAGCGAAAGCCAGGGGAGCAAACGGG